AACGAACGCUGGCGGCAGGCCUAAAACAUGCAAGUCGAACGAACCUUCGGGUUAGUGGCGCACGGGUGAGUAACACGUGGGAACGUACCCUUUGGUGCGGAACAACGUCUGGAAACGGACGCUAAUACCGCAUAAUAUCUACGGAUCAAAGAUUUAUCGCCAAAGGAACGGCCCGCGUUAGAUUAGGUAGCUGGUAGGGUAAUGGCCUACCAAGCCUACGAUCUAUAGCUGGUUUGAGAGAAUGAUCAGCCACACUGGGACUGAGACACGGCCCAGACUCCUACGGGAGGCAGCAGUUAGGAAUAUUGGACAAUGGGGGAAACCCCGAUCCAGCCAUGCCGCGUGUGUGAAGAAGGCCUUAGGGUUGUAAAGCACUUUCAUCUGCGAAGAUAAUGACAGUAACAGAAGAAGAAGCUCCGGCUAAAUUCGUGCCAGCCGCCGCAGUAA
rnacentral:rRNA from 1 species